GGGGGUAAUGACGGUACCCGAAGAAUAAGCCCCGGCUAACUUCGUGCCAGCAGCCGCGGUAAUACGAAGGGUGCAAGCGUUAUUCGGAAUUACUGGGCGUAAAGCGCGCGUAGGCGGUUUUUUAAGUCAGAUGUGAAAUCCCGGGGCUCAACCCGGGAACUGCCUUUGAUACUGGCUCUCUAGAGUCCGGUAGAGGGUAGUGGAAUUCCCGGUGUAGCGGUGAAAUUCGUAGAUAUCGGGAGGAACACCAGUGGCGAAGGC
rnacentral:rRNA from 1 species